GUGCUCGCUUCGGAAGCACAUAUACUAAAAUUGGAACGAUACAGAGAUUAUCAUGGCCCCUGUGCGAGGGUGACAUGCAAAUUCGUAAAGCAUUCAGUAUUUUU
ensembl:snRNA U6 U6 spliceosomal RNA